GUAGUCGUCCAGGUAGGAAGUUUUCGGUAUCCCUUGGACUCACGGAUGAACGCUGGCGGCGUGCUAACACAUGCAAGUCGAACGGAUCCAUAUUGAAACCUAGUGAUGUAUGGAGUUAGUGGCGGACGGGUGGAGUAACGCGUGGAUAACCUGCCGUAUACAGGGGGAUAACACUUAGAAAUAGGUGCUAAUACCGCAUAAGCGCACGGUUCCGCAUGGAACAGUGUGAAAAACUCCGGUGGUAUACGAUGGAUCCGCGUCUGAUUAGCCAGUUGCGGGGUAACGGCCCACCAAAGCGACGAUCAGUAGCCGGCCUGAGAGGGUGAACGGCCACAUUGGGACUGAGACACGGCCCAAACUCCUACGGGAGGCAGCAGUGGGGAAUAUUGCACAAUGGGGGAAACCCUGAUGCAGCGACGCCGCGUGAGUGAAGAAGUAUUUCGGUACGUAAAGCUCUAUCAGCAGGGAAGAAAAAAAGCCCUUUGGACUUUGGACGGUACCUGACCAAGAAGCCCCGGCUAACUACGUG
rnacentral:rRNA from 1 species